CAAAAAAUCUAUAUACUGUCUAUAACGUAAGAGAUUCCAGUAAUAAAUAAAUAAACCUUUGUUCGCUUAAAAAAUCACUCCAGCCCUUGAAAGGCAAAGGAAAAAUAAGAAGAGCAAAUUGACACAGAAACAUUGCUUCUUCUGCUCGAUCUCGGACUCCACAGCAAAAUUCCAUGUCUGAGACCCUUUAAAAAAAAAAAAACAUCGGCCAUUAUCCCGAUUCUUAUGUGGUGACAUUUUUCUAGAUCUGGCGGCGAUCAGACGGAGGUGAUCUAAAUUAGGGAUUAGGAAGAGGGCCACGACAAUGAAGUCGGUAAAAAGUGCUACGCGAUCUGCCCUGGUCGCAUUUGCGCCAGAGGCGCCAUUUUUGGCAUCCGGUACUUUGGCCGGAGCACUGGAUCUGCUGGAAAACUCUUCCCUCAAGCUGGAGAUAUUCAGGUUGGAUUUCCAGAACAACGAACGGGACCUCCCAGUAGUUGGCGAGUGCAUCAGUAGCGAAGGGUUUAACCGCCUGACGUGGGGCAACACCGGAGCUGGCACGGAGGAAUAUGCUUUCGGAGUAAUUGCCGGUGGCAUGAGCGAUGGCACCAUCAACGUCUGGAAUCCAGCUAAAAUUAUGAAUCCCGAGGACACCGAAGGUGCUCUAAUGGCACGACUUGAAAAACACACAGGAAAUGUUCGUGGUCUGGAAUUCAAUCCAAUUGCCCCGAAUUUAUUGGCAUCUGGUGCUGGAGAUGGGGAGCUUUGUAUCUGGGAUUUUGCAGAUCCUUUAGCACCUAAGCAUUUCCCAUCACUUAAGGGUGUGGGCUCAGGUGCACAAGGUGAAAUCUCAUAUUUAGCUUGGAAUCGGAAGGUUCAAUAUAUAUUGGCUUCAACUUUUUACGGUGGAAGCACAGUGGUUUGGGAUCUAAGACGGCAGAAAUCUGUUAUUAGCUUUUCUGAUUCAACUCGAAGACGUGGUUCUGUGGUACAAUGGAAUCCUGAUAUAGCACAGCAGCUUAUUGUAGCAUUAGAUGAUGAUUUGUCACCUGGUUUACAGGUCUGGGAUGUGCGAAAUACAAUUUCUCCAGUUAAGGAGUUUACAGGGCAUGCUAAAGGAAUCAUGGGUAUGUCAUGGUGUUUAAGCGACAGUUCAUUUUUGCUAACUUGUGCCAAAGAUUCCCUUACUCUCUGCUGGGACACUGUAUCUGGCGAGAUUGUUUGCCAAUUACCAGCUGGGCCCAGUUGGAAUUUUGAUGUUCAGUGGUCACCAAGGAUACCUGGACUAUUUUCAGCAUCCUCUUUUAAUGGAACAAUUGAUAUUUACAAUAUAGAGACCUGCAGUCAAAUGGAUUCCAGAGAUGCUGUGUUUGGCGGAGGCUCAUCAGGUGCACUCUUGAAGGCUCCUAAGUGGUUGAAGAGACCAGUUGGAGUCAGUUUUGGAUUUGGAGGAAAGCUUGCUUCAUUUCGGCCAAGUACAAACUCACAGAGUGCAGUUGGCUCUUCUGAGGUAUAUAUACACAAUCUCAUUACGGAGGACAGUCUGGUGCUUCGUUCAACAGAGUUUGAAGCUGCAAUAGCAGACGGUGAAAAAUCAUCAUUGCGAGCCUUGUGUGAUAAAAAGUCUCAGGAUUCUCGGUCGGAAGAAGAGAGGGAAACAUGGAAUUUCCUAAGAGUCAUGUUUGAAGAUGAAGGCAAUGCUAGGACAAAGCUACUUGAACACCUUGGAUUUCAAGUGCAGUCAACAGAGAAUCAAGACUUACAGGAAGCACAAUCUGCCAACAUUGAUGAUAUUAGCAGUCAAGUAAUUGACAAUGUUACUCUUGGUGAUAAAACACAGUUAGAUCCAUCAGUUCAGUCAAAAGGUGGUCAGGAUGUUACAUCCCUCAGAGAUAACGAUGAGGACUUUUUUGAUAAUUUACAUAGUCCGAAAGAAGAUUCAUCACUUCCUCACAUGGAAAAUGAUUUUGUUGUUGGGAAUGAUACGCUAGGCAAUGGAGAAGACGUGCAACAUGAAGCUACUAAUGAUUCAACUGAGCACUCAGAAUGUGAUGAAGCCAUUCAAAGUUCAUUAGUUGUCGGUGAUUAUAAGGGAGCUGUCAUGCAGUGCCUGUCAGCAAACAGGAUGGCAGAUGCACUUCUCAUUGCUCAUGUUGGGGGGAGUUCUUUAUGGGAGAAAACUCGUGAUGAAUAUUUACGAAAAUCAAAUUGUUCCUAUCUUAAGGUGGUUUCUGCUAUGGUCAAUAACGAUCUAAUUGGCCUUGUGAACAGCAGGCCUUUGAAAUUCUGGAAAGAAACUCUUGCUUUACUUUGUACGUAUUCACAGAGAGAGGAAUGGACUGUUUUAUGUGAUACACUCGCUUCUAGAUUAACCACAGCUGGAAAUACACUAGCAGCAACUCUUUGUUACAUAUGUGCUGGAAAUAUAGAAAAGACAGUAGAGAUAUGGUCUGAAAGUCUUACGAGUGAACAUGAUGGGAGGAGCUUUGUUGAUCAUUUGCAGGACUUGAUGGAAAAGACUGUUAUUCUUGCUCUAGCAACUGGACAGAAGCGGGUCAGUCCCUCUUUGUCAAAGCUAGUUGAGAAUUAUGUCGAGUUACUUUCCAGUCAAGGGCUUUUAUCUAUAGCUCUAGAGUAUCUGAAGCUUCUAGGUUCUGAAGAAUCUUCUUAUGAGCUGGCUAUAUUACGAGAUAGAAUCUCUCUGUCCACAACAGUAACUAAGGAGGAGCCUUCAACUUUUCCUAAUGGAACUAGAGAAUCUCCGACAGAACCUGUGUAUGAUAAUCAGGAUAACCUGCAUCAGCCUGUCGCUGGCAGUUUAUACGGUCAAACUGGUAAUCCUUAUUACCCUGGAAGCUACCAACCAAAUCAAGCUGUCAAUUCCUCUUACCCUGGAAGCUACCAACCAAGCCAAACCAAUACUUCUUACCCUGGAGGCUACCAACCGAGCCAAACCAAUACUUCUUACCCUGGAGGCUACCAACCAAGCCAAACCAACACUUCUUAUCCUGGAGGCUACCAACCAACACAGCAGCCACAGCCCCCACUUGAAAACUACACCCCUCCAGUAGAAUACCAACCGUCCCCAGCUCCACGAGUUUUCUAUCCAUCAACUGUUCCUGUGCCUCAACAGACUAAUUUUGCUCCACCUGUUACUCAACAACCUGUAAAAUCUUUUGUUCCAUCUACACCACCAGUGCUGAAAAAUGCAGAGCAAUAUCAACCACCUUCAUUGAUGUCUCAGAUGUAUCAGGGAGUUCCUCCUUCUAUUGGAACAUAUGCCUAUCAACCAGGAGUGCCUACUCCAGCUUCAGUUGGGUCAACUCCGGUACAGCCACCUCCAGUUCCUAAUGUAAUGUUACCAGGACCAAGUAGUGCACCUGCAGCUCCUCCUCGGAGUUUUAUGCCAGUUACAACACCAGGGGUACCUCUACAACCUGGUCUUGUUCCCCCAGUUCAGCCUCAAAGUCCCACUCAAUCUAGUCAGGUGCAGACUGUGACUGCUCCACCCACACCACCCCCAACAGUACAAAAUGUGGAUACAUCAAAUGUGGCAGCUGAGCUAAGACCAGUGAUUGGGACUUUGACAAGGCUCUACAAGGAAACCUCUGAGGCUCUUGGAGGUUCCAGAGCAAAUCCAGCUAAGCGUCGUGAGAUAGAUGAUAAUUCAAGAAAAAUUGGGUCAUUAUUUGCAAAAUUGAACUCUGGUGACAUAUCAUCGAAUGCCGCAACUAAACUUGUGCAGCUCUGCCAAGCACUGGAUUCAGGGAACUAUUCAGCAGCUCUUCAAAUUCAGGUGGGUUUGACAACAAGUGACUGGGACGAAUGCAGUUUUUGGCUUGCUGCUUUGAAACGAAUGAUCAAAACAAAACAGAGCAUGGGAUGAGCAUGCUGAUGAUUAUUCAGACUCGAGCAGUUCAACUACUAUUUUUACUCUUGUGAUUGGUGAUCUUUCAUUUUUUUUUUCUACUUUUUGUUCAAUUACUCUGGAGAUUUAGUGUCAUAGGAUAGCAAUGUACACGGUUAGUUUUUAGCUAUGGGCUAUCAUAAUUUGUGUCUUUAUCUUCUUUGUGUGAAUUAUUAUCCACCACAUUUUUUUGCGCCACACUUAUUUAUCUGAGAACUAUUGUAAAUUGAUUCAGGUUGAAUUGAUUAGAGGAGAAAUUUUUACGAAAAGGGAAGUAAUGUUUCAUGGUAGCGACUUAUUGAGUUAUUCAAUUCCUGUAAAUGGUAUUUGCAAUGGCCAAUUUUAAUUUGUCAACAGGCAAACGAAUAAAUUGUCAUGCUCUAACCUCUUCCAGGUAAAUGCAGUUGUAACAGUUUAUUUUGACUUUUUAGGUUUUUGAGGUUGAUUGAAUCAAUGGACCUGGAAGGAGAUGAGGAAGAGCUUUAAAUAUUCCUGUACUUAUUUUGAUGAUUUGGCAUAAUGUUAAUCUUUCUCUACAGAGUUCGAUAGUUUUCCUUUA